ACUUUGGCGGCGGGAAAAACAAUUCAAGCUGAGCGGUACAGGGGAUGCUUGCAUCCCGCUUGACGAGCGGGGAGGGAGGGGGGACGCGUGAGAAUUGCCCAUAGUGGGGGAUACUCGGGGAAACUCGAGCUAAUACCGCAUACGUCCUACGGGACAAAGCAGGGGACCUUUUGGCCUUGCGCUGAUGGAUGAGCUCGCGUCGGAUUAGCUUGUUGGUGAGGUAAAGGCUCACCAAGGCGACGAUCCGUAGCUGGUCUGAGAGGAUGAUCAGCCACACCGGGACUGAGACACGGCCCGGACUCCUACGGGAGGCAGCAGUGGGGAAUCUUGGACAAUGGGGGCAACCCUGAUCCAGCCAUGCCGCGUGUGUGAAGAAGGCCUUCGGGUUGUAAAGCACUUUCAGUAGGGAGGAAGGCUUUUGGGCUAAUACCCUGAAGUACUUGACGUUACCUACAGAAGAAGCACCGGCUAAUUUCGUGCCAGCAGCCGCGGUAAUACGAAAGGUGCAAGCGUUAAUCGGAAUUACUGGGCGUAAAGCGCGCGUAGGCGGUGUGUUAAGUCGGAUGUGAAAGCCCAGGGCUCAACCUUGGAAUUGCAUCCGAUACUGGCACGCUAGAGUGCAGUAGAGGGAGGUGGAAUUUCCGGUGUAGCGGUGAAAUGCGUAGAGAUCGGAAGGAACACCAGUGGCGAAGGCGGCCUCCUGGACUGACACUGACGCUGAGGUGCGAAAGCGUGGGGAGCAAACAGGAUUAGAUACCCUGGUAGUCCACGCCGUAAACGAUGUCUACUAGCCGUCGGGGUCCUUAGGUGACUUUGGGUUGGCGCGCAGCCUACGGCGAAUA
rnacentral:rRNA from 1 species